UGGCAGGCAGCAUACUGCCGUGAAUACGUUCCCGGGCCCUUGUACACACCGCCCGUCACACCAUGAGAGUUGGGAAUACCCGAAGCCUGUGAGCUAACUAAUAGAGGCAGCAGUCGAAGGUAGAAUCAAUGAUUGGGGUGAAGUCGUAACAAGGUACC
rnacentral:rRNA from 1 species